rnacentral:rRNA from 1 species
AGAUUGAACGCUGGCGGCAGGCCUAACACAUGCAAGUCGAGCGGCAGCACGGGUACUUGUACCUGGUGGCGAGCGGCGGACGGGUGAGUAAUGCCUAGGAAUCUGCCUGGUAGUGGGGGAUAACGCUCGGAAACGGACGCUAAUACCGCAUACGUCCUACGGGAGAAAGCAGGGGACCUUCGGGCCUUGCGCUAUCAGAUGAGCCUAGGUCGGAUUAGCUAGUUGGUGAGGUAAUGGCUCACCAAGGCGACGAUCCGUAACUGGUCUGAGAGGAUGAUCAGUCACACUGGAACUGAGACACGGUCCAGACUCCUACGGGAGCAGCAGUGGGGAAUAUUGCGCAAUGGG